rnacentral:rRNA from 1 species
GGCUCAGAACGAACGCUGGCGGCGCGCCUAAUACAUGCAAGUCGAGCGAGAAGGUGUAGCAAUACACUUGUAAAGCGGCGAACGGGUGAGGAAUACAUGGGUAACCUACCCUCGAGUGGGGAAUAACUAGCCGAAAGGUUAGCUAAUACCGCGUACGCCUCCCGGACUUCGGUUCGGGAGGGAAAGCGAUACCGUGGGUAUCGCGCUCCUGGAUGGGCUCAUGCCCUAUCAGCUUGUUGGUGAGGUAACGGCUCACCAAGGCUUCGACGGGUAGCUGAUCUGAGAGGAUGAUCAGCCACACUGGCACUGCGACACGGGCCAGACUCCUACGGGAGGCAGCAGUAAGGAAUAUUGCGCAAUGGGCGAAAGCCUGACGCAGCGACGCCGCGUGGGGGAUGAAGGUCUUCGGAUUGUAAACCCCUUUCGGGAGGGAAGAUGGGAUGGGUAACCAUUCGGACGGUACCUCCAGAAGCAGCCACGGCCAACUUCGUGCCAGCAGCCGCGGUAAUACGAAGGUGGCAAGCGUUGUUCGGAUUCACUGGGCGUACAGGGUGUGUAGGCGGUUUGGUAAGCCUUCUGUUAAAGCUUCGGGCCCAACCCGGAAAGCGCAGAGGGUACUGCCAGGCUAGAGGGUGGGAGAGGAGCGCGGAAUUCCCGGUGUAGCGGUGAAAUGCGUAGAGA